GGGGUAGAAGCUCAGUGGUUGAGCGAUCGAUUGCAAAGUGCAUUACUUAAUGCGAGCGCAACUGGUAUCGAUAGGUCACGUGUUCGAUCCACGUCUAUCCCU
rnacentral:tRNA from 1 species